AGGGUAAUAGCUCAGUGGUAGAGCCCGUGCUAAGCAUGCCUGAGGUCCUGGGUUCAAUUCCUAGUACCUCCA
rnacentral:tRNA from 1 species